rnacentral:rRNA from 1 species
AAAGCCGGCCAUAGGGGUAGGGUUCUACCCGGUCUCAUCCGAACCCGGAAGUAAAACCUACCACCGCCGCUGUGUUAGUGAGGUGCGCAAGCCCUCGCGAAGCAGCGGUGCCGGCGCUC